rnacentral:rRNA from 1 species
GCAAGAUUAAAACUCAAAGGAAUAGACGGGGACCCGCACAAGUGGUGGAGCAUGUGGUUUAAUUCGAAGAUACGCGAAGAACCUUACCUAGCCUUGACAUUGGUAGAAUCUUCCAGAGAUGGAGGAGUGCCCUUCGGGGAACUUGAAAACAGGUGCUGCACGGCUGUCGUCAGCUCGUGUCGUGAGAUGUUGGGUUAAGUCCCGCAACGAGCGCAACCCUCGUCAUUAGUUACUAACAGUUCGGCUGAGGACUCUAAUGAGACUGCCUUCGUAAGGAGGAGGAAGGUGAGGACGACGUCAAGUCAUCAUGGCCCUUACGGCUAGGGCGACACACGUGCUACAAUGGUUAGGACAAUGAGAAGCGAUACCGCGAGGUGGAGCAAAUCUAUAAACCUAAUCUCAGUUCGGAUUGUAGUCUGCAACUCGACUACAUGAAGCUGGAAUCACUAGUAAUCGUAGAUCAGCCAUGCUACGGUGAAUACGUUCCCGGGUCUUGUACUCACCGCCCGUCACACCAUGGGAGUUGAUUUCACCCGAAGCGGGGAAGCUAAACUGGCUACCCUCCACGGUGGAAUUAGCGACUGGGGUGAAGUCGUAACAAGGUA